rnacentral:lncRNA from 1 species
AGGGGGUAUAGGUGAUGGCAUUUGUUGAAGAGUAAAAAUUGUUUGGCCCAUCAAAGAUCUAGAUCCAAAUGGCUAAAAGAAGGUGAUGCAAAUAAAUACUGGUAGUUAUUUUCAUGCAUGUGUUAAAGCUAGGAAGAGAAACAAUACUAUUGUGGAGAUUAAGAAGGUUGGAGAAACCGGUGGAGUGGAGGUAUGAAAGGAGGUGGUGAAAUAUUUUGUGAAGCACUUUGCGGUGGUGGAGGAGUGGACUUGGCCUCAACUUGAUGAUGUAGGGUUCCCAAAGACUCUCUCUGUCUCUUUCUCUCUCCCUUCACCAAAGGGUGCUUCUUGAAGGUGCUUUUUGGGAUGAUUGCAAGGGUAAAAUUAAGGUCAUGAUGGAUCAAUUCUUCUUCAAUUCUACACUUCUAAGAGGUUUACUCUCCUACUUCAUUACUUUAAUUUCAAAGGUGAUUAAUCCUAAUUGUAUUGAAGAAUUUUUCUCAAUCUCCUUAUUGGAAAAUCUAUAUAAGAUUUUGGCUACAUUUUUUUGCAAACAGGCUUAGCAAGGGGAUGGAUUCUUUAGUUUCUUGUAAUCAAUUGACUUUUUGUGAAAGGGAGGUUUUGGUUGAUGGGGGUGGCAGUAAUAAAUCAAGUGG